rnacentral:rRNA from 1 species
GACGAACGCUGGCGGCGUGCUUAACACAUGCAAGUCGAACGGAAAGGCCCUGCUUGCCGGGUGCUCGAGUGGCGAACGGGUGAGUAACACGUGGGUGAUCUGCCCCUUACUUUGGGAUAAGCCUGGGAAACUGGGUCUAAUACUGGAUAGGACCAUGCUGUAGGUGGUGUGGUGGAAGGAUUAGUUUCGGUAAGGGAUGAGCUCGCGGCCUAUCAGCUUGUUGGUGGGGUAUUGGCCUACCAAGGCGUCGACGGGUGGCCGGCCGGAGAGGGUGGACGGCCACAUUGGGACUGAGAGACGGCCCAGACGCCUACGGGAGGCAGCAGUGGGGAAUAUUGCACAAUGGGCGCAAGCCUGAUGCAGCGACGCCGCGUGGGGGAUGACGGCCUUCGGGUUGUAAACUCCUUUCAGCCAUGACGAAGCCCUUGUGGUGACGGUAGUGGUAGAAGAAGCACCGGCUAACUACGUG